rnacentral:other from 1 species
AGUCUCCUGCGAUGUUCGAUAAUAACCUGGAUACCUUCGAUCCUAACUUUAUACAUCGGGGUCAUGUUCUGUGAGCACAUUUGUGCAUAACCACAAUAUGUGGGUAGCCUGUUGUGACUGCGGCAAACCCCACUUGCUUCUCUGGUUCGAGAGCAACGGUUGAUAACGGCAUUUGCGGGAGAUUU